CGUCACACACCAGACCACAAGGGCUGAUGAGACUUCCAAGAUAAGUGAAGCG
rfam:Schistosoma curassoni strain Dakar, Senegal genome assembly, scaffold: SCTD_contig0001758